rfam:Vitrella brassicaformis CCMP3155 genome assembly, contig: scaffold236
GGCCACAUGGCGCAGUUGGUUAGCGCGUAAGUCUCAUAAUCCGGAGGCAGCUUAAGGUCGUGAGUUCGAGCCUCACUGUGGCCA